AUACUUAGCAAGCAGGGGAGAUACCAAGAUCAUGAAGGUAGUUUUCCCACAGCGAGGAGGUAUAAUGGAUGUACAUAAAGUACAUUCAGAGAAGCUUAAGAACCACUGCUGUAAAAUGUUAUCUGCAUUUUUAUUUGUUUAUUUUUUUAAUGCCAGGGGAAGAGCAUGAAUGCAGACCCCAC
rnacentral:snRNA from 1 species